GAGGACAUCUUGGGGAGGAGCUCCUGAGCAGAGGAGCCGGAGCUGCCGGCAAAGUUCAGGAUGAGCAGGAGAUCCGAGGGGCUGGAGGCGGGGGAGGGGCAGGAAGGAGUCAGAGGAACUGAAGCCAGACCACCAAGGCCUUUAGGGUCACGGCGGCGGCGGAGACUGACAUUAUCUUAGGAGAGCCUCCUGUGUGAGGGAUUCAUCUGUGUCGCCGGGGAUGGCAAUUAUUCACUCCCUGUGGAAGGCUUUAAUUGAGAGGCGCCACGGUCUGAGAAGCAUUGGGAUGAUAAAUUCUAUGCUCCUCUUACCUGUUGGGGCGUCCUUGCGACCGUGUCACAUUUGCUGUCUUGGUCAAGACUGGAAGCGUACAUUUGGGAGCACACAGAUGCAUUUAAAGUCACGGAACUGUCGGAAAUCACCUAAGAGGAGAGGAAGAAGGAAACAGAAUAAAAGGAGUUCUAGGAUCAAGCCAGCAAGGAAGAUGGAAACGAUGCAUCUUGUGAGGUGGGAGAAAAACGGGAAGGUGUGGCGCGUCGGGGUUUCAAGGAGGAGGAACAGUUUGGCAGAGAUGUCCAUUUGGCAGUCAAGGUAGAGGUCACCUGGGAACUUGGCCACAGCAGUUUCUAAGGAGAGGUGGGCACAGGAGCAAGUCUGAGGUCGAGGUGGGAGAGGCACUAGGACAAUGCAGAUACACAUGGAGCCAAGUCCUUGAAGGGCACUCGUGGGGAGUGGGACACACCACUUUCAUGCUAAUUGGAGGAAAGAGAAACCUUCUUUAAGUUACUAUAAAAUAAUUAGGACAUACAAAAAGGUAUCAUAAAUCACACUGUCCAGCUUAAAAAAUACUCAGUAUAGGAGU